UACGUGGACAUUUGGGAAAUACUGUCUUUGUAGAUGAAGAGCAGUGCUGUCACAAGAUGAGAUGGGCUUCAGUGAGAAGGAGUACAUUAACUAUUGAAGCACCAUGAUUCUAAGCAGCAAAACUGCUUCCUGAGUAAUUUUAAGAAUGCAAAAAUAUAGAUUCAGUGCAGAAGGAGAGGGCACGAUAUGGCUGAGGAAACCAAGUUGACAUAAGGUGGAGACAGUGUCAACAAAUGCCAGAAACUGUGAUGGUGCUGGAAAACAAGACUGAGCAGCUUAUAAACCAAAGUGAACUUUGUACCUUGAAAGAAUGUGUCUGAAAGAUGGCAAUGAGCUAUUAGAUGAUUGCUCCUGUUGCAGGAAUAACAUGAUUGUGGUAUAUCAGAGAGUCUGUGACUAUAUAGAAAUUAUUUUGAAACCUUUUGCAACAACUUUUCCAUUUUGAUUAACCACAGCCCACUGAGUAUGUGUUCUUCACACAUGACAUAAUUCAGAUGACAGAGGCCAAGCGAAGAAUGAAAAUGCUGUUGAUGACAUUUUCCUCAUUCAAGAAUCCUGUCAUUGAAAAACAGCCUCCUUUGAGAAAAAGAAAUAUCUCAUAAAAGUGUUGAAAUUAGUGUGGAGUUUCUCAAAUUAGUCUUAAUAUUAUUUAGUCAUUAUGGAAAUAUUAAUAUUAUUUUAAGUUUUGAAUUAAAGGCAAAAAUUUUGAGAAUAAUUUUGAUCUUUCAUAAACAUCGAUUAGAACAUUAUAAAAAACUAAUUUUUACUGAAAAAAAUGGAAACAUUUUUCACCUUUCAACACAAGCAGCUUUCUAUUUUCUGAUGCAUUGUACAUAAAAAUUAAUUGUAAUAAAAUUGUCAUUGAACUGCUAGAUAAUAUAUUCUUUUUUUAAUGUGAUCUUAGGCAGGACUGAAGAUGAAGACACUCAGAGUAGGUGAGAUGAGUUGCUCUCAGACUCCUUUUACUUUUUUUAACUUGUGACCCCUUCUCAUGUAGCGGGAACUUAUUCAUUGCACCUCUGCACACCUACAUGCAGGCAUCUGCUCUGAGAUAUCUUAAGCUACAGCCAGGUCUUUUGCCUAAAGGCUUGUUAUUCUACCCAAAAACUUUAUUGGAAUUAAAAUAUGUGUUGAGAAAAUAUUAGACUUGGAAGGAAGCUGCUGUUUUAGUGAGUGAAAAUCGACAUGGCGUAUUUUGAAAUGUGGUGCGCCAGGGUGCAACCAGCUGAUGGAUCCAGAAGUACUGUAACUACUUGUCUGUCUUUAACUUCUUCUCAGCUUUGCUGAGAGGUGCUAGCCUGUUCUCAGACUCACACUGGCCUCAUGUUCAGUUCAAUGCACUGUUUUGUGCCAAAGUACCAGCCUGUGUAAAGCUAAUGUGGGGUUAUUUCUUGUUUUACUGCAGGAGGAAGUUGUGCCCACAGCAGCCUUAUCACUUAUAGAUGUGGUUUCAGCUUCUAGAACCCUACUGCUAGCAGUGCUAGAAACCUGCACACCUUCUGUGCACGACAACUUCUGGCUUUCACUUCAGGGAUGUGCUUCUAGAGGCAGAUCACUAAGUCAGUCUCUUCUGACCUGGUUUUCCAAACAUGUAAGGCUUUAUGUCCAAUAAGUUGGUAUAUCCAGAGGGAGUUUGUAUUUGAAAGGGAGGAUGAAAUGGAUCAUUUGAGGAAAAAAAAAGUUCUGUUUUAAAGGCAGAAGGUUGUAUUAGCUGUCCUAGUCUGACUUUUCGAUAUGGCUUUUGAGUGUAAGAAGAGGAAAUGAGAAGGAGUGAAUAAUGAAUUGUGACAGGGAUUUCUUUCUCGUGUACUAUUAAAAAAAAUAAUUUGCCUCUGCAUUUUUCAUGGGUAAAUUGAAGAUAAUGAUAAUUCUGGUUUGAGCAAAUGACAUAAAGAAACUUUUAAAGAAUGUAUCCAAGUUAGCGAAGCUUUAACUCAGGUGGAAAGCAAAUUACCCACCUAAUGGGAGGGAGAAGGAUUUUUGAACACCCUAACCCAUUCUACAAGUUGCACUGUAGCCAAAAAUAAUAUUCUGCCUUGCUUUUGUUACCACUGGGACCAAAUGCUCUGUUCUACUGGGAAUGCUGCAUUAGUUAGUACAUUUAUUUCACUGGCAGAUAUUUCAAUUUUAUUUAUUUUUUUGCAUACAUACUUGGAAAUAAAACUGACACCACUGUGUUAACCACUUGCUGUUGUAGACAUACAGUUAAGCUCUGUGAAUGUAGGUUACUUGUACAGUAAUGCAAUGAAAUAUGAACAUGUAAAUUACUUCUCCAUUGAUCAUCCUCUGAGAAAUUUUAAAGAUCAUUUGUUUUGUAGGAUUACAUAGACCUAA